rnacentral:rRNA from 1 species
GACGUAGGGCGCGAGCGUUGUCCGGAUUUAUUGGGCGUAAAGAGCUCGUAGGCGGCUUGUUGCGUCGACCGUGAAAACCCGGGGCUCAACUUCGGGCUUGCGGUCGAUACGGGCGGGCUAGAGUUCGGUAGGGGAGACUGGAAUUCCUGGUGUAGCGGUGAAAUGCGCAGAUAUCAGGAGGAACACCGGUGGCGAAAGCGGGUCUCUGGGCCGAUACUGACGCUGAGGAUCGAAAGCGUGGGGAGCGAACAGG